AGUGAACGCUGGCGGUAGGCCUAACACGUGCAAGUCGAACGGCAGCACAGUAAGAGCUUGCUCUUACGGGUGGCGAGUGGCGGACGGGUGAGGAAUACAUCGGAAUCUACUUUUUCGUGGGGGAUAACGUAGGGAAACUUACGCUAAUACCGCAUACGACCUACGGGUGAAAGCAGGGGAUCUUCGGACCUUGCGCGAUUGAAUGAGCCGAUGUCGGAUUAGCUAGUUGGCGGGGUAAAGGCCCACCAAGGCGACGAUCCGUAGCUGGUCUGAGAGGAUGAUCAGCCACACUGGAACUGAGACACGGUCCAGACUCCUACGGGAGGCAGCAGUGGGGAAUAUUGGACAAUGGGCGCAAGCCUGAUCCAGCCAUACCGCGUGGGUGAAGAAGGCCUUCGGGUUGUAAAGCCCUUUUGUCGGGAAAGAAAAGCAGCAGGUUAAUACCCCGCUGUUCUGACGGUACCCAAAGAAUAAGCACCGGCUAACUUCGUG
rnacentral:rRNA from 1 species